rnacentral:rRNA from 1 species
GCUUUAUAAUGAAAUAGUAUUUUAUAAAUUUAAUUUAUAAAAAUAAAAUAAAAUAACCUUAUUUUGUUGGGGCGACAAAGAUAUAAAUAUAUCAUAUAACUGUCAAAAAAUGAUACAUAAAUUUAUGAAUAAUAAAAUGAUCCUUAUUUAAAGAUUAAAAGACUAAGUU